rnacentral:rRNA from 1 species
CCCUUAGAUGGUCUGGGCGGCACGCGCGCUACAAUGAUGCAUUCAAAAAGUCUUCUGACCUUAGAAGGUUGGGUAUUCUCCAAAGUGCAUCGUGAUGGGAAUAGUUUAUUGCAAUUUUUAAUCUUGAACGAGGAAUUCCUAGUAAGUACAGGUCAUCAACUUGUGUUGAUUACGUCCCUGCCCUUUGUACACGCCGCCCGUCGCUCCUACUGAUUGAGUGUCUCGGUGAAUUCUUUGAUCUUCUGUCGAUUCAGUUCACUGAUCCGACGGUGGAAAGUUGAAUGAACUUCGUCACUUAGAGGAAGGAGAAGUCGUAACA